GAUGAAGUGCAGUUCAUCUGUGGUGUUCUUUUUCAAGAGGCCAUCAUAUAUGCCCUGGCUGUCCUAUGGAAUUCGUCCUUGGAGGAGGCUGAGCAGGUCUUCCUUUCUGGUCCGGAUUAUCAUUACAGGAGUUGAAGCCUACAGCCAUUCUGUCCAUGCAGCAACUGAUGGAAAAGGGGGGCUUUUUUGUG